ensembl:lncRNA
AAAAUACAAAAAUAUAACAAUUUCUGAUGAUUUCACUAAGGAUACUCACAUAAUCUUGUGCUGAUUAGCAUUACAUUACAAUUGUCUAUGGGACACGACCCACACCAUUAUAUAAAUCUGAAACUACUCAAUCAUAUACAGAAUCAUAACUUGUACAUACACAAUGUUUAAGGAUGAAAUCAAUGCAAAGUUUUAUACACAAGACCCCAGGUUUCCACGGGUUUGUCAGGCUAUAUGAUUAUCCAGCUAAUACUGUAAUUAGGGCCAGCGUUUUGAGAAUGAGAAGACAAAAUGGUAGCAAGUGCGAUGGCCAGUUAGCGGGAGACCUACUCUGUGUGUGUGUGUGUGUGUGUGUGUGCGCAUUUAUGUAGUAAGCAUGAAGUGUAUCCCUUUGAAGUUUUAUAAACCAUGAUGCUUAUGUGUUUUAUAUGUACUGGAAUGCCAAGUUUUGAUAAAAUUUGGAAGAAUUUAUAUAUUUGUGUUUGUUUUCCACACAUGCUGUCAAUCUAUUAAUAGAAUUUUACAGUUUAUGUUUAUAAAGUGUAAAAGUUUUCAUUUCUACACAUUUUCCCUUUUGUGUCAGAAAAAUAAAAGGGGACCUUAAUGUGUAUGCGUGUGGCCUGUACACCCGAAUAAAUACAAUACUAAUCUGACAUCAUGCAUCGUUGUUCCUUUUCACUGGGCCACUCUAACACAUUCAGGUUCUUGGUUUUUGAACCACUCCAGUGUAGCUUUGUCACUAUGCUUAUGGUUGUUGUCUUGUUAGGACGUGAAUCUCUGAACCAGACUCAAGUCUCUUGCUGACUGGAUCAGGAUUUUUUCAAGGACUGCACCGGAUUUGUCUCCAUUCAUCUGGUCUUAAACUCCUAACCAGCAUCCCCAUAACAUGAUGCUACAACCACCAUGCUUCACAGUGGGGAUGGAGUUCUCUGGAUUUCCAGCAGUACUGGAUUUCCUCCAAAUGCUGCACAUUGUGCCGAGGCCAAAAUGUUCAAUUUCAUGGAGUCUUGAAAAGGGUGGGGGCAUGGUUUAGCAGGAGUCUGCAGUGGGAGUGUAGG